CUCCCUAAUGACAAAUGGAGGAAAUCAAAGACUGGUUAACAGGUAGGCUUACUUGAACAUUAUUUUACUUAAAGUCACAAAUCAAUUAAAUUACCCUUUACCUUAGCACCAUCAUUACCAGGAGAACCAGGAGAUCCUCGGGCACCAGCAGGUCCAACAGGGCCAGGGGCACCACGUUCACCAGGGAAUCCUCUGUCACCCUGAGGAGAUCAUGAAGAAACUUAGAUCUCAGCCGUCCAGCCAUUAAGAAGAAAUCCAUCCUUUUUUUAAUGAAAAGGGAGAAAAGUGUUGAGAGGCUCCAACAAACUGAUGAAACUUACGGUCGUCCUCGCCCUGCGCCCUGACCAGGAGCACCGUGGCGCCAAGCAGCAGCGCCAGCCGCAAAUCCACAAAGCUGAACAUGUCUAGAUGCCACCAGACAUGUAGACUCUUUGAGGCAAAAGAGGAAAAAA